CGGCUUCGGCUGUCACUUAUGGAUGGACCCGCGUCGCAUUAGCUAGUUGGUGAGGUAACGGCUCACCAAGGCAACGAUGCGUAGCCGACCUGAGAGGGUGAUCGGCCACACUGGGACUGAGACACGGCCCAGACUCCUACGGGAGGCAGCAGUAGGGAAUCUUCCGCAAUGGACGAAAGUCUGACGGAGCAACGCCGCGUGAG
rnacentral:rRNA from 1 species